CCUGUUUCUGCUAAAAAUACAAAAAUUAGCUAGGCGUGGUGGUGUGCGCCUGUAGUCCCAGCUACUCGGGAGGCUGAGACAGGAGAAUCACUUGAACCUGGGAAGCGGAGGUUGCAGUGAGCGGAGAUUUCACUACCACACUCCAGCCUGGCCGACAGAGUGAGACUCCAUCUCAAAAUAAAUAAAUAAUAGUACCCAUCACAAAACUUCAAUAUGUAACGACAUUUUGCCCAUUUUGUUCAACAGAUUCUAAAUCCAUAUUGCAGGGAAGCCGUUAUGGUCUCUAACCCUGUUAACUCUUCAUCCUUGAUGUCUUCCCCAAGGUGACAUUCCUUUCUAGUUUUCUUCUGACUCCUCUGCUGCUUUAGGGCAGCCUCCACUUGGGGGCUCCUUCUUUUGCCUGUCCCCUGAAUGUGGGUGUUUCCCAGCGCUCUGACCUGACCCCAUCCGUCUCUCGCUUUCCACACUCCUGCUGGGUAAACUCACCCUCUCUCAUAGCCUUUUUACCUUCUGUGGGUUGGCGAGGCUCACAUUUCAAUGAGGUCUGCAUCUCCGCCUUCAGCUCAGACCCUUUUCCCAGUCUCAGACCACCAUGUCCAGAAGUCUGGACACCAAAUUGAGUCCAUCCUCCUGCCAAAACAAGCUGUUUCCUGGAUUCCCAUUAAUCCACACAACAAUAGAGAUCUACUCAUAUUUAUUAGAUACCAAUUUUUAUGUAAGAAAAAAAUGUAAGAUUCUGGAACAAGCCAAAGAAAUUACUGCUACAUGAAAAAGAUGGACAAUAACAAGUGUUGGUAAGGAUGUGGAGAAACUGGAACCCUCCUACACUGUGGGUGGGAAUGUAAAACAGUGAAGCCCUGGCCCACCCAGAACCAGAAUAAACGCCGUAGAGGAUUUUUCCCCUUUUCCCCCCACUUCAAGAGAUGGGCUCUUGAGCACAGUAGAAUGAUCAGAGCUCACUGCAGCCUUGAGCUCCUGGGUUCAAGCCUCAGCCUCCGAAAUAGCUGGAACUACAGGCAUGCACCACCACACCCAGCAGAGGAUGUUGAACUGAUGGCCCAAGGUGGAGAGGGAGUGAAAGUGCAGGUGCUUUGAUGGAUGAGGGAUGGAGUGGCUUCCCUCCGGGAAUGAAGGUGUGCAGAAAGGGCCACGCGCCUGCGGGCUGGGUUGCAGGGCCUCUGAGGGAUGGGCUCAGAUGUGGAAGCUAUAGGAAUGCCUGGGCAAACUGGGCAGAAAUACCACAACCUGGGCAGGCUUUGGGAGGUCCCCAGCCAAGCCCUAGGGAGAGGGAGAGGGGCUGCCAGCCCCCCGGCUUGGGCUCAGGGAAGCCAUAGUGAUUCUUCUCAGGAUGGCCUGAACCUCCUGGAAUUGUGAUAAGCCCCAAAGACAGGAUGAGGCUCCAGGAAAAUGACUAAUAUCAGAUUUCCUGUCAACCGUGGCAACGAGAGAAGGGGGCUCCCAGUCUAUUUAAUUAGAUUUACCAAAAUAAAGACGUGGCAUUUCUUACACCUGAGUGCCAUGCUGUGAUGCAUAGACUGAAUUACAAAUUGUGAGAUGGGUGAGGUAAGAGGGGGUGGCCAUAGAGAUAGUGAAAAGUGGGCAAAUUUGCUAUUUAGCAGGAAGGCCAGGCAGGUCUUACUGAUAGUUUGGAAGCUGAGGGUCGGAGACUGGUACUGAAAAGGAUUUCCCGGUUUCUGGCUGAGAACUGGGUCAACCCGAGUGCAUUCCCACCCACUUCCUCUAGACCAUCCAUCCACUCAGCGGCACAGACUCCCGAAAGUGUCGCUCCAGUCCGAGUUGGCUCCUGUCCCUUGUCCACAUAGACCGUCUCCCCGCUCCCCCAAUAUGGCACAAGGUGCCUAGGCCGUGUGGGGCGUCGGCAGGUAUCACGGGUGGGGUCCAUUGUGUGAGGACUAACAUCGCGGCCUUUCCCCAGACCAGCCACCGGGGACUCCAGAGAGGCCUCGGCCCAGCUCCCGGAAAGGGUCUCCCAGCCAGGCCUUCUAGCGGCCCAAAGCGGAUGGAAACUUGACCCAGAAUGGACAAGUGAUUCUCCAGGUCCAGGACUAAAACAUGGGCCUCUCAACAUCUCAGCAGGCAGGUGGAAGAGAUGGAGCAAACUCACUUGGAGCAAAGAUGGGCAGGAGGGGAACAGCGAAGCCCAGGCCAACGGCACCACAGGGCCCCUGGCAGAACAUGGACAGAGACAGUGUGAUUCCAGGGCUCUGUUCCCUUGCUGCUGCCUCCAUGGGCCCCGUACAUGUGCUCAUGAUUCUUAGACACAAACAAAGCUCCCAACACAGUGAUGGAAAUGCAGCUGCCAAGGGGGAUUGCCAAGGAAACCAUCUUUGAAAGGCUCAUUAUUCUUAUGAAGAAUCUGCAGGAGACAGGAGUUCUCAAAACAACUCUCGCUCCGCCUCUAUCCUCAACCGGACUCUGUGGGAGUGUCUCUUUUAGUAAUUAUCCUGUUCUUUGGUAAUUAUCUGCCUCUCCUGCUAGCCUGUGGGACUGUGUUUUCUUCAUCUUUGCAUCAUGAGUAUCUAGCACAGGGUCUGGCUCAUUGUAGUACCUGGCAGAUAUUGGUGGGAAAAACACAUGGCUGGUGUAGCUUCUUCUCUUUAUUCACUUUUAAUUUUUUUCUCUUUUAUCCAUUCACUGAACAAAUCUACUGAGACCCUGCUCUGUGUCAGGCCCUCACUGGGGACACAGAAGUGAAUGAGAGCCAAGCCCUGACUUGGGGGAAGGAGCUCCUAGAGUGAGGCAGGAGACAGACCUGUAAACACACACCACAAACAUGACGCCACCACCUGGGUACAGGCACCACCUCCAAGCUGGGCCCUAAGCCUUAUCGGCCUGUGUCUCUUCAAACCAGAGAGGCUCAAAGAUCUUAUUAGGGGCCAAGCUGUCACUUUGUUGGAGAAGUCUUCCCUCUCUAUUCCAUAAAAGCAAAACUCCAGAAGCCAAAUCAAAGGUGCCCAGGGCUGGAAGGAUAGACUGCUGGGCCAUGGGUCUCCUGAGCCUCUGCUGCAAUCUCCCUGGCAGGUGGCUGCCCAGCCGCUGCUCGCACUGCCUGGGGUGGGCUGCACAUGCCCGGUGAGGCAGCCUCCUCCUCAGUGGCCACUGGUUAGACCUGAGCAGAAGCUUGCAUUGCAGUCAGCUCCACUCCUUCCUAUCUCUGCACUGAUCCCUGUUUUGCACUCCAGGGCCACCCUUUUAGUGAAUGCCCUGCUGGCUGCCCCAGGACAGUCUUUCAGGUAUUUGAAGGGGGCAGCAACUGGGUCUGUAUCCCUGGCUUCUCCAAGUAACACAAGCCCCACAACAGUUCAGACUUGGUUCCCAGAGCCCUCACAUUCCAACUGCCCUCCUUACAAUGUGUCUCAGUUGGCUCUGUCCCUUGGACAGUGUAACUCCAGAACUAAAGGCCACAUUGUAGGUUGGUCUCCACACAGGACACACCUCCUCUGCCCUGGAGUCUAUACCUCCAAUGAUCAGCCCAAGCAGCUCUAGCUUUAUCAGUGCUGGCUGCCCAAACACCACCCCUCGCCAUCCACUUAGCAACCUCUACUCCGUAACUGAAGAAUCUUCCUCAGUGAAAAAACCUCUGAGCCUCUACUUCCUUUUUCUGUGUUCCCACAGUGCCCCCACCCCCACCCCCACCUUGGCAGCAGCCCUAUCAGAUCAGCUUCAAUAGUUUUGUAUCUGCCUCUCUAGACUGGGCACUUUCAGGCCAGGGACCAUGCCUGCUUCAUCUCUCUUUCCCUCUCUCCCUCCCCUCCUCUCCUCUCUCUCUUCCCUGCCUCUUGCCUCCUUCCGUACUUCCACAAACAUUUACUAAAUGCCUACUAUGUGCCAGGCCAUAGGGAUCACUAGCAUAGGGCUGGCACAUGGUAGGAGGCCUACUUUCUCAAUGAGGAGUUUUAAAAUAGCUCAUACAAGAUCAAAUUCUAACAACCGCAUUUACAUGACAUGAAAAUGUUUUCCUAUUUUUAACUUAGCACCUUUUUUGGCCCUCCAAAUGAUAACAUCUCUUUAAGGUUUCUGAGAUAACUUUACAUACAAGGCAUUUGAUUCUCACAACAAUGGUGUCAGCCAGGCAGACAGAAAGCCCUCUCCUCACCUUCCAGAAGCGAAAACGCG
rnacentral:lncRNA from 10 species